AUUUAGAUAGCUUAUAAUAUAGAGCACAACACUGAAGAUGUUGGGGAAGUUAUUAAACUUUUAAAUA
rnacentral:tRNA from 1 species